rnacentral:rRNA from 1 species
GAUGAACGCUGGCGGCGUGCUUAACACAUGCAAGUCGAACGAAGCAUUUAGAACAGAUUACUUCGGUUUGAAGUUCUUUAUGACUGAGUGGCGGACGGGUGAGUAACGCGUGGGUAACCUGCCUUGUACUGGGGGAUAGCAGCUGGAAACGGCUGGUAAUACCGCAUAAGCGCACAAUGUUGCAUGACAUGGUGUGAAAAACUCCGGUGGUAUAAGAUGGACCCGCGUCUGAUUAGCUAGUUGGUGAGAUAACAGCCCACCAAGGCGACGAUCAGUAGCCGACCUGAGAGGGUGACAGGCCACAUUGGGACUGAGACACGGCCCAGACUCCUACGGGAGGCAGCAGUGGGGAAUAUUGCACAAUGGAGGAAACUCUGAUGCAGCGACGCCGCGUGAGUGAAGAAGUAAUUCGUUAUGUAAAGCUCUAUCAGCAGGGAAGAUAGUGACGGUACCUGACUAAGAAGCUCCGGCUAAAUACGUG